rnacentral:rRNA from 1 species
GUGGGGAAUCUUGCGCAAUGGGCGAAAGCCUGACGCAGCCAUGUCGCGUGAAUGAUGAAGGUCUUAGGAUUGUAAAAUUCUUUGACCGGGGACGAUAAUGACGGUACCCGGAGAAGAAGCCCCGGCUAACUUCGUGCCAGCAGCCGCGGUAAUACGAAGGGGGCUAGCGUUGCUCGGAAUUACUGGGCGUAAAGGGCGCGUAGGCGGACAGUUUAGUCAGAGGUGAAAGCCCAGGGCUCAACCUUGGAAUUGCCUUUGAUACUGGCUGUCUUGAGUACGGGAGAGGUGAGUGGAACUCCGGGUGUAGAGGUGAAAUUCGUAGAUAUUCGGAAGAACACCAGUGGCGAAGGCGACUCACUGGCCCGUUACUGACGCUGAGGCGCGAAAGCGUGGGGAGCAAACAGGAUUAGAUACCCUAGUAGUCC